rnacentral:rRNA from 1 species
GCUUAACACAUGCAAGUCGAGGGGCAGCAUGGUCUUAGCUUGCUAAGGCCGAUGGCGACCGGCGCACGGGUGAGUAACACGUAUCCAACCUGCCGUCUACUCUUGGACAGCCUUCUGAAAGGAAGAUUAAUACAAGAUGGCAUCAUGAGUCCGCAUGUUCACAUGAUUAAAGGUAUUCCGGUAGACGAUGGGGAUGCGUUCCAUUAGAUAGUAGGCGGGGUAACGGCCCACCUAGUCUUCGAUGGAUAGGGGUUCUGAGAGGAAGGUCCCCCACAUUGGAACUGAGACACGGUCCAAACUCCUACGGGAGGCAGCAGUGAGGAAUAUUGGUCAAUGGGCGAGAGCCUGAACCAGCCAAGUAGCGUGAAGGAUGACUGCCCUAUGGGUUGUAAACUUCUUUUAUAAAGGAAUAAAGUCGGGUAUGGAUACCCGUUUGCAUGUACUUUAUGAAUAAGGAUCGGCUAACUCCGUGCCAGCAGCCGCGGUAAUACGGAGGAUCCGAGCGUUAUCCGGAUUUAUUGGGUUUAAAGGGAGCGUAGAUGGAUGUUUAAGUCAGUUGUGAAAGUUUGCGGCUCAACCGUAAAAUUGCAGUUGAUACUGGAUAUCUUGAGUGCAGUUGAGGCAGGCGGAAUUCGUGGUGUAGCGGUGAAAUGCUUAGAUAUCACGAAGAACUCCGAUUGCGAAGGCAGCCUGCUAAGCUGCAACUGACAUUGAGGCUCGAAAGUGUGGGUAUCAAACAGGAUUAGAUACCCUGGUAGUCCACACGGUAAACGAUGAAUACUCGCUGUUUGCGAUAUACAGCAAGCGGCCAAGCGAAAGCGUUAAGUAUUCCACCUGGGGAGUACGCCGGCAACGGUGAAACUCAAAGGAAUUGACGGGGGCCCGCACAAGCGGAGGAACAUGUGGUUUAAUUCGAUGAUACGCGAGGAACCUUACCCGGGCUUAAAUUGCAGAUGAAUUACGGUGAAAGCCGUAAGCCGCAAGGCAUCUGUGAAGGUGCUGCAUGGUUGUCGUCAGCUCGUGCCGUGAGGUGUCGGCUUAAGUGCCAUAACGAGCGCAACCCUUGUUGUCAGUUACUAACAGGUUCCGCUGAGGACUCUGACAAGACUGCCAUCGUAAGAUGUGAGGAAGGUGGGGAUGACGUCAAAUCAGCACGGCCCUUACGUCCGGGGCUACACACGUGUUACAAUGGGGGGUACAGAGGGCCGCUACCACGCGAGUGGAUGCCAAUCCCCAAAACCUCUCUCAGUUCGGACUGGAGUCUGCAACCCGACUCCACGAAGCUGGAUUCGCUAGUAAUCGCGCAUCAGCCACGGCGCGGUGAAUACGUUCCCGGGCCUUGUACACACCGCCCGUCAAGCCAUGGGAGCCGGGGGUACCUGAAGUGCGUAACCGCGAGGAGCGCCCUAGGGUAAAACUGGUGACUGGGGCUAAGUC